GUCACUCAUUGCCUGGCCAGCAUAUUUGUAUAUGGAUCUUUUGGUUAUGCUGUCUUUUGUUCUUUCAGGGUAUAAGCUCUUCAGAGGAAGGAUCAUAGCUCUGGGUUCAUACUACAUAUAAGAAAUUGUGGGGAAUACUGGGAAAAUCCACCUGCCAACACUGGAAGAUAAUAUUACAGUCAAAACAAAAUGUUAGCAUUUGGAGAUUUGGCUUCCGUUCUUCAAAUCAGCUGUGACUUUAAGCAACUCAUUCAGGUAAACAUAUCCUUUAAAUAUAUGCCAAUGGAAGGGAACACCUUUUAAUGAUUAUAGUUUCAUUGCAGGAUGGUGUUGACGCCUGCUGAAUGCAUAUAAACAUAAUAAGUGAUUUAGAAAUGAUGAUGAAAUGAGAAGGGAUCACAGGGUAGAAGAGGAAAUGCCACUGUCCUCAUUCAAUUUAAAAGGUAUCACUUCUUUAGAGAAGACAACCAAUUUUGCUGUUUACUUUGUUGCCAUGUCUCAGAACUUCCUUCUCCUCCUGACUGUGAUCCUUACUGUGACCUGCAAAUUGAGGAAGCAGACUUUAGCAACAAAGAUGGAAACACCUCAGAGGAAUAUGUCUGAAGCCUAAUGAGCAGGAAUAUCUUUCAAAUUCACCAAGAAAAGCGGGAUCCUUUCUUCUGAAAAAUGGAUGAACAAAAACCUAAUCUCUCCCCUUUUAUAUAGCAAUAAUUCUGCAGUGUCUGAUUAAGAAGUUUUUUGUUUCUUUCUAGUUCACUAAGUGUCUACUUUCUGUUUUUAAGAGGUUAACGUGACAGCAGUAAAAUCAACUGCCUCUUUAUAUGUAUCUUGGUCUGACCAAAUAAAAGAUGUUAGGAAUGGUCUCAGAAUGGUAGGUCUAUUUCUUGUCAAUACAAGUCUGUAACAAUAUUAUGAAAUAUUUCCAAAAUGCGUAUUUAGCAUUUACCGGCAUUUGCAGAAGUUAGGUGCUUAGAUAUUAUUGAAUAUAAUGGGAGUUAGGAAUUUCUUGAUAAUGUCAGAUGUCCAAAUACGCAAAUAACUGCUAGUUUUUAACCCACUUAAACUGAUGAGAGCUAAGUAUCCAGUACUGCAAAAUCUUUUAAACAUGAUUCUGGCCUUUUCAGUCUUUCUUGAAACUGAGAUUGGACUGUUUUAAUCAUGAACAUGGUUUAGAAAAGUUUGUCUUGAUUGUUGGUGUAUCUUGUUCCUGAGGGAGAUACCAUUACUAUUUCAAAUAUCUCAUUGUCAUGUCAGCAUUUGACACAUGAAUGCUAUUAAUCUGUGUUCGGUAUAUCUAUCCUUGAUGAUUUUUACUCUGAAUAUGAGAAGAUGCAGUCACAACUGUGGAUGUUUCAAAAGCAUGUCAAGAUUUUGUUGGUGAUGAAACAUAUGAAAAGUGAAUACAAAAUUCCAAAUGUUACUGCAUUACACUCCUGUGGUGGGAGACUAUUAAAUCCCUGCACUGUGUGUGAUAAAAUGCCUGCUUCCUGCUUCUUCCCGCCUGGAAUUUGUGGCCACAUAAGUUAUCACCUAUAAAAAGGCAAGAGCAGGAAAUCUUGUCCUUGACAUACCCAGUGGAAUAAAUAAUCAAAAAAAAGCCUCCUGAAUGCCAAAGCUCCUGUUGUUGGAAACCUUGUCUAAGAAAGGAAAAAAUGAGCAUAUGUAAUUUCUGGAAUAGGUUGACUCUCUGAAGUUUGCCAGCAUUACUACAGACCAGUAAGACUGAGAAACAAAAUCAUUCCACAAAGAAAAGUGCUUGGACCAGAUAAUGUCAUAGAACAGCAAUUGGAUUCCAGUGCCUGAGGUUUCCAGAAUUUAAACAAGCAACUGCUUCUUGUGGUGUUUGUGCUCUAUUUGUAGCAGAGAGGUGGGAGUGACACGUAAAGAUUCAUCUUUGGAAAAGGCAGGUACCAUAUCAGGAUGGGCGAGCUGUCUUCAGCUAAGCAAAUUAACCUGUUGAGAAACAAAAGAGAAUGCAAGUUAACAGGUUCUGAUUUUGCCUAUGAAAAUGAGCUUCAGAUGUGAGGUUGCGAUCUAUGUAAAUUAAAUGUAACCCUUCAGUAUCAGAAGAUAAUUCCACUUGGGCCACAUAAGGACAAAAAAACGUGCUAACGGUCCAUGCUGCAACACCAGAUUAAGAGUGUCAGCUUCCUUCCUGUUCCUCUGAAACAGCUGGUGCUGGCCUCCGCCUUUCACUGAAUGGUGGCCCAGGUGGGCCAGAGCUGCGAUGCAGGCUGUGAGAGGAUGCAGAGAGAGAGGACUACGCUGGACAUCUUCGAGGACUCAGAAGUCUAGCUGGAGCCAUGCCACAAUAAAUGGGGCCACAGCCUUCAGUGGACACCAGUACCUGCUGCACCAGGAGCCUCUCACUUACUCUGAUUGUUAGACUCUAAAAAGCUAGGUGACUCAAACAACAGAAGUCAUUCACUUGCCUUCACAUAUCCAAGUGGAGAAAAGUACAGCUGCUGGAAGUGCACCAUGCUGAAACAGUGCUCACAGAUGUGAGACCAGCAGCAGCGGCAGAAAGGCUUUGUCAACACCAGCAAAUCACUGUUUCUACCUCUGCAAGGUCAGCUGCUGAAGGCAACGUGUUCAAGACCACAGCUCCACAACCGGCUGUUGCCCUCGACUGUUGAGUUGUCGCUCUGCAAAGCUGUAUUCAUACAGAACUUGAAUACCAUGUGCAAAAGAAGAAAAAAAAAAAGCAAAAGACUCAGAAAAAGGCAACAAGAAUGAUCAAAGGUCUAAGCAAGAGGCAACUGAACUGCUUGGAUUCUUCGGUUCAGAGAAUAAAUGAGCAAGAGUAGUCCGAAAUGAUCAGAAGAUCCAUGGGAAUAGAAGCGUUCAGAAGGAAGCAGGGUGAAGUCUGUCUCAGAGAACUCAUCUCCACAGCAGCGGGUGACAGGCUAUGCUGCUAAUUCCUGUGGGGAGUCCACCUGGGAUGCUGGCACUGGAACAUCUUCACUACCACCCAUUCCCAGGCAGGAUUUCAUCCCUUUAAGAGGACUGGCUGAAUUCCCACCUCUAGUGUUGCAGUCUGCUUGAAAACUCAGACAUUGAUAAAGCCAUUAAGGUUCCAGAAGAAGCUUUAAGAGGAAGUGCCAGAACUUUGUUAGGGAAAGACUGCAGUACUUUUAGUCCCUGAGGAGGCCUGGCAAGAUUAUAAAGUGUGCUCUGCAGAAGACUGAGAGGUGGAGGAAGCAGACAAUAUGGAAAGUUAAUUGGAAGAAGGAAAAGUAUAAAAGAGUUUAUGAGAAAAUUUUCACAUGCAACAUCUGGCCCAUCGCAGAUCUGAGUGCAGCCAUGGUACUGCUGUGAACGCUACUGGUGCUGAGUGAAUGAAUCCAUGCAGAUCAUGAACACAUUGCCAAAUCAUAUUUGCGAAACACCGCUUCCUGCUGAUGCCCAAAUAUUAAUAUGGAUUCCCUGUCUCCUUGAUUUAACCUGCGGCCGAGACAAGGCUCACCAAGGAAAAUGACUGAAGUAAUUUCCAUCCUCCCUCUUCUAAGAAUGCAACGCUGUGUUGUAAUACUUGUCAGCCCAGGCUGCUUCCCACCAGAGAUGGAACUGGCUCCUGUGGCUUGGGAUGAAACCACAGGUGGCAGCUGUCUGUGCUGUAGGUCAGUGGUUAGCAUCAGCAGUUUUCUGUGGAAGAAGAUCCCAUGGAUGUCUGUCUGGGUCCCUGAGAGCUCCAGGGAAAGCUGAGGAAUGAAUCCAAGACUGAAUGGUGGAAAACAUGCUUGGCUUCCCAGGGCCUAAUCCUGCACUUUUUUAUUCCCAGAGACAGUUUCUUCAGGCAUUAUCAAUUUGUCUUUGUCUUUUUCUUUUUAAGACAUGCCUGAUAUAAGUUAUGUCUGAAAUAUAAUUCCUGAUUUCAGCUGCUGCUGACAGCUUAAAUUAUUAAGAGGAAUUUUCGAGUUCUCUUUAGGUUUCUCACUUUUACAAUACAUUUUUCCUUUCUGCAUUUCAUAGGUUUGGUAGCCUUAAUGGAGUUGCUUUUUCCUUCUGCUUAUUAAAACUGUCUCUACCCUGCCUGCCUUUGAUGAGCUGCUAAAGCCAAAGACAAGUAAAAAAAAAAAAAAAAAAAAAAAAAAAAAAAGGCAAAACCAACCAAACAAACAAAAAAACAUACA